UGGGGAAUAUUGGACAAUGGGCGAAAGCCUGAUCCAGCAAUGCCGCGUGAGUGAUGAAGGCCUUAGGGUUGUAAAGCUCUUUUACCCGGGAUGAUAAUGACAGUACCGGGAGAAUAAGCCCCGGCUAACUCCGUGCCAGCAGCCGCGGUAAUACGGAGGGGGCUAGCAUUGUUCGGAAUUACUGGGCGUAAAGCGCGCGUAGGCGGCUUUGUAAGUUAGAGGUGAAAGCCCGGAGCUUAACUCCGGAACUGCCUUUAAGACUGCAUCGCUAGAAUUGUGGAGAGGUAAGUGGAAUUCCGAGUGUAGAGGUGAAAUUCGUAGAUAUUCGGAAGAACACCAGUGGCGAAGGCGACUUACUGGACACAUAUUGACGCUGAGGUGCGAAAGCGUGGGGAGCAAACAGGAUUAGAUACCUGGUAGUCCACGCCGUAAACGAUGAUAACUAGCUGUCGGGGCUCAUGGAGUUUCGGUGGCGCAGCUAACG
rnacentral:rRNA from 1 species